rnacentral:rRNA from 1 species
UGAGGAAUAUUGGUCAAUGGACGAGAGUCUGAACCAGCCAAGUAGCGUGCAGGAUGACGGCCCUAUGGGUUGUAAACUGCUUUUGUAUGGGGAUAAAGUCAAUCACGUGUGAUUGUUUGCAGGUACCAUACGAAUAAGGACCGGCUAAUUCCGUGCCAGCAGCCGCGGUAAUACGGAAGGUCCGGGCGUUAUCCGGAUUUAUUGGGUUUAAAGGGAGCGUAGGCCGGAGAUUAAGUGUGUUGUGAAAUGUAGACGCUCAACGUCUGACUUGCAGCGCAUACUGGUUUCCUUGAGUACGCACAACGUUGGCGGAAUUCGUCGUGUAGCGGUGAAAUGCUUAGAUAUGACGAAGAACUCCGAUUGCGAAGGCAGCUGACGGGAGCGCAACUGACGCUUAAGCUCGAAGGUGCGGGUAUCGAACAGGAUUAGAUACCCUGGUAGUCCGCACAGUAAACGAUGGAUGCCCGCUGUUGGUACCUGGUAUCAGCGGCUAAGCGAAAGCAUUAAGCAUCCCACCUGGGGAGUACGCCGGCACGGU